UGAACUAUUUUUCUCUUGAACACUGGAAUAAUUUUCAGUUCACGUUAAAAUCGAUAAGUCCCACGAACUCUCUGUCUCCCUUGCUUUACAAUCAAAGGGUGAUGGGUAUGAAAACCGAAGAACACCUCUAACCCUAUAAAUCAGAGAUGGCUGAGAUUGGAAUCGAGCUUCAACAAACAUGCUCUAUGAGUAUUUCUUCACCGAAAACAUAGAUCCCUUCUUCGGAAAUAUCAUCCUCUCUGAUGCUACUGUUGCUCAAUCAUCCGCCAGCUACUCAACUAUCCGACAUGCGACUUCCCAAUUCAUUCGCUAUUCACUUCUCCGACUUGAAGGCGGCCGCAGCAAGGAGGUCGUUCCGACCAGACUCCUUAGGUCCUACGUCACUUUUGAUUAUCUUCGCCUUGAUCCGUUUUCUUUGAAUAUUAUUGUCUGUCUUCUCCGAUUCGAGGAUUCACGUAACAUCAAGAAGAACGGUGUGAGGAUAUCACUCUCCUGCUUCUAGAUGAGAAGCUUGAGAGUUGAAGAAAUAGAGGCUUUCCCACGUGUUGAGACAAUGGGAGUAAUUCAGCAGAAAUAUCAGGUCUUAAUUGCAGACCUUCAGACGUAUCUCUCAAAGUCAAACUACCAUGUUUCCAUAACUCUAUUAUCCUAUCAUGUGAAAACUAUUUACAAAUUAAACUAUUCCCAGCUAAUGUUCUCUCCAUUGUCUCCGUAGAGACUCAUGCAGUUGCUUUUACAUGUUGAAUCAUGUCAUGAUGGAGUAGAUGUCGGAUGGUCAAAUUUAUCGGAUAUGAACGUUCACGAGGGAAAGCUUCUUGGUUGCUCAUAUAAUCCAAAUUGUGUAGACCUCUCGCGUACUGAGUCUAUGAGUGGAGGUGCCACUCAGAACGGUCCUAAUCAGUGAGCAAGCAGUUGAAUCCAGAGCCGAACGUGUCGUUAUUGGAAGAACUAUGCCAUAUUCGUUGCAGUCCAAGGCGGCUAAUUCUCGGAGGCUGUCUAGCAUCAGAAAUGAGCCGGAUCUACUAACUGAUUCGCUUCUUGAAAGAUCUCAGUCUCAGCCGACAGAACCAAGCAAUUUAGAAGACGGAAUUACAUUUAUAAGCUCUGAUCGUCCGUGCGUUGCAAGUGGUCCUUCAUUUCUUACACCGGUUGCAGCAGGAAGUUGAACAAAUUGGGGGCAACCAAUGAAGUACGCGGAUUUGUUGUAUCAUAUGCAAGUUGUACCAAAAUUUGAAGACAGGCCUCAUAAUACCCUUUCUUACAGGUACUGCAGGAAGAAUCAGAUGGAAAUACACAUCUACGGAAGAUGUCAAAUGCAGUAACAACUUUGAAUUAUGAGUUUCGUACCAUUGGGGGAUGGGCCAUUACACUGUACUAUUUUUACAGCCCAAACAAUAAAAAGACCAAGAAGAAAGUCCACACACGAACAGCAAAUUAGAAGUCAAUUCCUACUCUCUCCGGAAACAAAACAAAGAAUAAAAUUCCUGGACACUGUAUUUUGCAACGACCGUCUAUCUUUGCAAACAAAAAAAAUCUGAAUUGAUCCACUGUAUGGCAAAAGCACAACAAAGUAUUAUUUUCGUGACUAAUGACACCUCUUACAUCUCAA